GUGAAUCACCAUUGAAACCCAAAUCUCUGGCAGUUGUUGUACCAAGAUUCCGCCUCUUAGUAAACAAACGAUCUCUAACUGAUCGGCGAGUAAGUUUUACUCUAAUGGCGGUAUGUUAUUGUUUCGAGCGGGAAGACGAUGACUGAUUGAUAUCUCGUUUUCGGAUAGCACAUGGUCAGGAUCGAUAGCUUCAGCAACCUUAAGAACAAUUUCAUCUCUAUUUUCAUGUGCAGCCAGAGGCACGCCAUGAAUUUCCAGCAGAUCCCGACGCAAAUAAGACUGCAACUCAUCGACAGUAAGCUACUUUCAAGGAAGUCAAC
rnacentral:lncRNA from 1 species